UACGUAGGGGGCUAGCGUUGUCCGGAAUCAUUGGGCGUAAAGCGCGUGUAGGCGGCCCGGUAAGUCCGCUGUGAAAGUCGGGGGCUCAACCCUCGGAUGCCGGUGGAUACUGUCGGGCUCGAGUACGGAAGAGGCGAGUGGAAUUCCUGGUGUAGCGGUGAAAUGCGCAGAUAUCAGGAGGAACACCGAUUGCGAAGGCAGCUCGCUGGGACGUUACUGACACUGAGACGCGAAAGCGUGGGGAGCAAACAGG
rnacentral:rRNA from 1 species